rnacentral:rRNA from 1 species
UCGAUUAAACCAUGCGAGUCGAGAGUCUUAGGGACUCGGCGUACCGCUCAGUAACACGUGGGUAACCUGCCCUGUGCUGGAGAAUAACCUCGGGAAACUGAGAAUAAUGCUCCAUAGUUCACCAUGCCUGGAACGGUUGGUGGAUCAAAGCUCCGGCGGCACAGGAUGGGCCUGCGGCGUAUCAGGUCGUAGGGGGUGUAACGUACCCUCUAGCCUUCAACGCGUACGGGUUGUGGGAGCAAUCGCCCGGAGAUGGAUUCUGAGACACGAAUCCAGACCCUACGGGGUGCAGCAGGCGCGAAAACUUCACACUGCAGGAAACUGUGAUGAGGGGAUUCCAAGUGGCUAGACAAAGUCCUAGUCUUUUACCAACUUUUAAUCGGUUGGUGAAUAAGAGGUGGGAAAGACCGGUGCCAGCCGCCGCAAUAAUACCGGCACCUCAAGUGGUCGUCGCUUUUAUUGGGCCAAAAACGUCCGUCGCCUGUUUGGUACAUUCGUGGGUAAAUCAAGCCCCUCAACGGCUUGAAUUCUGCAAAGACGGCCAAACUAGGGCCGGGAGAGGUGUGGGGUACUCUCAGGGUGGGGAUAAAAUCCAGUCAUCCUGAGGGGACCACCUGUUGCGAAGGCGCCA